rnacentral:rRNA from 1 species
UACGGAGGUGGCAAGCGUUGCUCGGAAUCACUGGGCGUAAAGGGUGCGUAGGCGGCGCGGUAAGUCGGAUGUGAAAUCUCAGGGCUUAACUCCGAAACUGCAUUCGAUACUGCCGUGCUUGAGGACUGGAGAGGAGACUGGAAUUUACGGUGUAGCGGUGAAAUGCGUAGAUAUCGUAAGGAAGACCAGUGGCGAAGGCGGGUCUCUGGACAGUUCCUGACGCUGAGGCACGAAGGCCAGGGGAGCAAACGGG